rnacentral:lncRNA from 1 species
CCGGCGCGAAAGUUGUGUCGCUCCACUCUCGAAACUCCCGCGUCUGACUCUAGCGCACGGCUGCACCGCUCGCCUCGUGCUCAACGUCCUCGUCGUCUUGGUUGUCGUGCCACCUCCGCUCGGUCCCCGAACUCGCUCCUAGAUCCUCGGUGCCCGGUCCCCGGUUCGUCCCUUCCGCUGGAGCUUAUCUCAUCGCGGAAAGUUUACUACUUUAGUGUCGUGUGCUUCCUUUGACCCUGUCGCCUCCGCGGCCGCUGGACCCCGCCUUGUCUCCAGGCGGCCGGUUGUUUUCUUCGUACAUAGGCUUGCUCGGUUCGAUUGGCUGACUCUGCUUGGCUGCUUUCAGAGGCACACAAUCAGCAAUAGUACUGCAAAUAAUAAAGACGAAACAGUUUGAGAAGUUGAUACUCAAAAAUCGAAUUAACAAGUCGGUUUUAAUACCUAGGUACGUUACUACCAUAUCAUGAAGGGAAUGGAUACCACAUAUGAAGGUAGUUCAGAUAACAUACUUCUGUACAAUUGUAGGGGCUGCUCGCAUCGUUUUCUAUGAGGAUAUAAACAAACACAAAUGGGCAAUCAAGUCUAAUAAAAAUAAU